AUGAUUGACCAGCUUUCUGCUCCUGCCCAUCAAGGAGGAGCAAGUGACGACCAGCAGCUCCCUCCUGCUCCUACUCCGGCUCCGGCUUCUGCUCCUGCUGCUGCUGCCCAUGAAGAAGGAGGCGCAAGUGAUGACCAGCAGCUCGAGGACAAGGAGAAUCAACAAGUGAAGAAGGAGCUCCAAAAGUGUGUCAAAGAUAGAAGGUUCUUGGUUGUUGUUGAAAAUGGAGACCACCCAUCGCCAUGGAUUGAGAUGAAGGAAAUUCUAGAUUCCUCUGGCUGCUCCCCUGGUAGUGCAAUCAUGGUGACCACAAAGGAUGGUGGGCUGGCCAAGGAAUUCUCUCCAAACAGAACUAAAACCCAUUCCUUUGUCGAGUUUUGUUUGGAGAGAGCUAAGCGGCUGGUUUCCGUGGAAUGCCAUAGAGAGACAGGGGCCAUCUACAGCAUACAACGUGUCUUGCAGCAAUGUGACCCUGAUCUCUUCUGCAUGAAGCUGUUGCUCGGUACCCUGCAUGCUAAUCCCUAUACGGGUAAGAAGCAACUGGACGACCUGUGCACAAGCCUCGAAUCACCAUCACCGGGCCAAUCUCAAUCUGAUCCUGAUGGCAGCAAGCGGCGUCUCCGCGUCCGAAUGAAGAUGAUGAAGUUUUGCUAUGAUAAGUUGCCUGAGAUGGACAAGAGUUGUUUGCUCUACCUAUCCAUCUUCGCCCCAAAUUCCAAUAUCAGGAGGGCUAGCUUGGUAAGAAGAUGGGUAGCCGAAGGCCAUGUAACCCAAGGAGAUGGCCGAGAAGCACUAGACAGAGCUGAGAUCUGCUUUGAGGACCUCCUUGCUCAAGGGUUUGUGGACAUUACCAAGACAGGAAAUUUAGGCAAUGUCAUUUCCUGCAAGGUGCAAAAUAUUAUCUAUGAUUUCAUUACUAAGGCAGUCAAGGACGAGAACUUUGGGGACGCCGGCCUGCCUGCCAAACUUGCUAGCCAUAUUUCCAUUAGCAGUGAUAUCCAGUGGAACCAAGUAUCAGAUAAGCAGAAGCAGCAGCAGAAGCAAGGCAGGUGCAACUGCUUCUCUUCAGCAACGCUAGGACCGCAAGCAGGUGCCCCUGAUCAGAUCACAUCAUUUCUUGAGUGGCUCCCUGUGUUCUCUCGAGUGACCGCGCGGGUUAAGGUGAUGGACCUGAACUUCUGCAAGCAACUGGAGAACCGGCAUCUCAAGAUCAUAUGCAGCAACUUGUUGAAGCUCAAGUAUCUAAGCAUGGUGAGUACAGAGAUUUCUGUGCUGCCCAGAAAAAUCAACAUGCUGGAUGAAUUGGAGACGCUCGAUAUUCGACAGACCAAGGUUCCAUCUUCUGCCACAGAAGGCCUCUUUCUCCCGAUGCUAAAGCAUCUGCUAGCUGGCCCCGUUGGUUAUCAGGUCAGUGCCUCGCCCGAGGAGGAGCUUUCCACCGUGUGGAUGCCUCGCGACAUCGGGAGCAUGACAAACAUGGAGACACUGAGGCAUGUCCAAGUUCUUGAAGGUGGCGAUGAGUUCAAACACAUCGAGAAUCUCAAGCAUCUCAAAAAUCUUGGUGUGGUCAUUUAUGGUACACAAGAUAAUGUCAAUCAUUUGCUCCGAGUGGUCACGUUGAGUGAACACCUCCGCAGAUUGUCAGUUUGGGCUAGUAAGGGUAGUAUUGAUCUCAAAAUGGACCUGGGGCUCUCAGAAGAAGGUCCCAAGUUACUUGAGAGCAUUAGCAUCAACGGCAUCACCACGGGGUUGCCCGAAUGGAUUCAAAAGCUCCCACAUCUUGCCGAGAUCAUUCUGCGCAAGACAUCCUUGGCAGAUAAUUCUAUUCGAAUCCUCGGCCAGCUUGUACAACUUCGCUGCCUCACUCUCAGGCAUGAUUCAUACACAGAGAAUAAUCUCCCCUUCAUCGCUAAUGAGUUCAUGAAUAUCCAAUUUCUUGUCAUUGAGGGUGCCUCCAACAUUAAAAGGAUUAAAUUCUUUAGUGGCACAGCUCCCAAGCUUGAAAAGAUUGUUUGGACCUUCACCAGCAUGGACAUCAGCCAGGACACCAUUACUGGCCUCAGCAAUCUUCCAAGCCUAAAAGAGUUGGAGGUCAAUGGUGAGUUCGACCCAUACCAUGUGGAACAAGCUGUUGCACUGCAUCCAAACUGUCCUGUUUUUAGCAGUAAUUAG
rnacentral:rRNA from 1 species